rnacentral:rRNA from 1 species
CCAGCUCCAAUAGCGUAUAUUAAAGUUGUUGCAGUUAAAAAGCUCGUAGUUGGAUUUCUGUCAAGAACAAGCGGUCCGCUCCUUUGGAGUGUGUACUUGCGUCGUUUUUGACUUUCUUCUGAACCUAGUUGUCUCCUCUUCACUGAGCGAGGCAACUGGGCAGAACUUUUACUUUGAGAAAAUUAUAGUGUUUCAAGCAGGCUAGCGCCUUGAAUACUGC